UACGGAAGGGGCGAGCGUUGUUCGGAAUCAUUGGGCGUAAAGGGCGCGUAGGCGGCCAGUGCAAGUCAGUUGUGAAAUCUCCGAGCUUAACUCGGAAAGGUCAACUGAUACUGCUCGGCUAGAGUGCGGAAGGGGCAACUGGAAUUCUUGGUGUAGCGGUGGAAUGCGCAGAUAUCAGGAGGAACACCGGUGGCGAAGGCGGGACCCUGGGCCAGUACUGACGCUGAUGCGCGAAAGCGUGGGGAGCAAACAGG
rnacentral:rRNA from 1 species